rnacentral:tRNA from 1 species
GAGAGAUGGCUCAACAGUUAAGAGCAACUGAUUGCUCUUCCAGUGGACCUGAGUUCAAUUCUCAGCACUCA